CCUACGGGAGGCAGCAGUGGGGAAUCUUGCGCAAUGGGCGAAAGCCUGACGCAGCCAUGCCGCGUGAAUGAUGAAGGUCUUAGGAUUGUAAAAUUCUUUCACCGGGGACGAUAAUGACGGUACCCGGAGAAGAAGCCCCGGCUAACUUCGUGCCAGCAGCCGCGGUAAUACGAAGGGGGCUAGCGUUGCUCGGAAUUACUGGGCGUAAAGGGAGCGUAGGCGGAUAGUUUAGUCAGAGGUGAAAGCCCAGGGCUCAACCUUGGAAUUGCCUUUGAUACUGGCUAUCUUGAGUGUGGGAGAGGUAUGUGGAACUCCGAGUGUAGAGGUGAAAUUCGUAGAUAUUCGGAAGAACACCAGUGGCGAAGGCGACAUACUGGCCCAUUACUGACGCUGAGGCUCGAAAGCGUGGGGAGCAAACAGGAUUAGAUACCCUGGUAGUCCACGCUGUAAACGAUGAGUGCUAGUUGUCGGCAGGCAUGCCUGUCGGUGACGCAGCUAACGCAUUAAGCACUCCGCCUGGGGAGUACGGUCGCAAGNUUAAAACUCAAAGGAAUUGACGG
rnacentral:rRNA from 1 species